UUGAGGCAGGCACAGUAAGUCCGCAGCGUGUCCAGCUUAGCGAAGUGUUUGCAUCAAAUACCUCUGCAAAAUGUAAUUUGUAGCUGCCUCUUUUUCUUCUUCACCUGGGAAUGAAUUUUGAGCUGGCUGCAGAUGAUUUCCAGUAGAAGUUUGUCCUCGGAAGGAUGCUCGGUGAUGGAAGCACUACUCCCCGCGCUAUUCGAAACAGGAUGAGCACUGAGUUCCGGCCUGUCAACUGUUUGGCGGCGGAUGACGGAUGUUGGCAAAACAGGCCCCAAAAUGCUUGCUGGCUCAGCUGCCCGUCCGGUGAAGUAUUUCGCACCAAAAUCUGGCAAAUCUCCAACCAGCGCCGAGCAGCACCAGUGCCCCCUCUCUCAGCAGUGCCCGCCGAGCAGCUUCACCGCUCGUUAACGGGAAGAAUAAGAUUAUGUAAAACUAUUUAUUUCCUUAGCACCCGGCUCUUUUCGUGAUAUCCCUGUGCGGGAGAGUGCGGUGGUUGGAAAGUCGGAAAUUUAUCGUACCAAGAUUGUGCAGCAGAAAAAAAAGAACGCGCUGCCCGAGAACUUUUGUGCACGUUUUGCACAAGCUCACGAUGGACAACUUGAGUUGGACCCUCGCUUAGAAGCCGAGCCCAGGCACGGUGGGCAGCCAACUAUUUUCUUUUAGUGAGCGAUACUGACAAAUUCCAGUGCCAGCAGUGCCAGCAGAGUGCGCACGCGGCCACAUUAAUAACAGGGGCACGGGCCGGGCAUCACCAAACCCCCGGGGCCAAAAGCCAUCGUGAUUAAAACUUUGACACUGAGCUGAGAAAAAGUCGACACUAAACUUCCGGAUAAUGGCCCCUGCCGACUCACAAGAACUUGGCACGGAAAAGGAAGAAAAUCUCCUAAAGGAUGACGAUGGAAAAGAAAGGGGAAAAAUCUGUGGUGCGAAACAACGCGCCGAUACAAGACGGCCACCGGUUCGUGUUGGAGUUGAUGAGUAAAGAAGAAAAAAAAACAUGAAACCCGGCCGCGGCUCUCUCUCUCUCGGAAGUCAACUUAAGAAAGAUUGAAAGUUUGUCUUCCGUAAGAUCUGACCCAGUUCAGCUUGGUGCCGACUUUUACAAUUGUUCCGUGGUACUCGGUGGAUGGAAAA